rnacentral:snRNA from 1 species
AUACCUUUCUUGACUUUUGAUUAAAGAUUAAGAAUAGUAUAUGUUCUUAUCUUAGUAUUUGAUAUAUGAAUCAUUGACUCCCAUGAUAUUAAAUUAAUUUUUUAAGAUGUAUUGCAAGGGCUUGGUGCACUAAACUCUUGUAUUUGGGUUUUUGCAAUAUUGCAAGGCUCUGGCACACCCUUC